CCCGGGUCUUGUACACACCGCCCGUCACACCAUGGGAGCGGGUUCUGCCAGAAGUAGUUAGCCUAACCGAAAGGAGGGCGAUUACCACGGCAGGGUUCGUGACUGGGGUG
rnacentral:rRNA from 1 species